UGAUAAAAAUAACAUUUUUUUGCGGAUUUUUUUUUCUUCAAGGCAAAAAAUAACCAAAUGGAAAAAAAUCAGCUGCGGGCAACAAUCAUAAUCGAAUCGUUCUGAUGGAAUGACCAACACUACCAGAUUUGAUCAUCAAAUCAUUAUAGAAAAAUGAUGUAUUCAUGUUUCAUCUUUCUCUCGCUUAUCUAUUUGGAUGUUUGAAAAUGAAAAGCUAGUUAUUCUGCAUGUGAUUCGAACGAAAUUAAUUAUCAAAAAUUUCAUUAAAUGAGUGCAACCGUUGUUGAUGUGUGUGUGCAUCGAAUGAACAAAAAUACUAUAUGCGAAUUGGUUUGUCAUACAGAAUGUGAUUGUUUUUUCAUUUUUCAUUGUUGUUCCAGGAAAUUGAACACAUUAUUCUAAAAAAUGCAAUCCGAAGAGAUUUAUGGAAAGGAAAUGCGUGAUGAUAUCCAUAUUUGAAAUAGAAAUGACAGACAACUAAAACAAAAACCGAAAUGGCCAUGAGCCAAUCUUGCUGUGUUUGAUGUAUUUAUUGAUGGUAUGAAUCAAAUUUAACACCUGUCUUAUCAAACAAAUUAUCGUUGAAUUUUAUAGUUAUAAUAACUCAUUCGACUCUAAAGUAUGCAUCCUGUUGCCAUAAAUAGCUACCACACACACACACACACACAUGAGCCGAUUGAUUAUUUGGAAAAAGAUAUUAUUCUUCCUGUUUGGUCUCUCAUUCCUAAACACUGUGUGUUACAAUACUGUGUUUGAUGUAUGUUGGUGGUUUUUUUUUUAAAUAUUGAAUCUAAUACACUAACAAUUCAAGAAUCUAAUCGAAUUGUUUAUCAUGAAAUAUCUCUCUUUUUUAAAAACUAUUUCGAUUACAAAUACCACUACAACUAACCAAAUCUGAAAAAUUCUAUAGAUUCACUUUCAAUGAAUGAAUGAAUUUUACAAAUGUGAAUUAUGUGUGUGUGUUUGGUAUAUUUAAACGUGGCAAUCCAGCUAUUUUAUCCAACUAUAACUGUAUGCACCGCUACAUAAAUUAGACUUCUAUAUAAAGAAACAUACAUAGGCUAUAUUUUGAAAGUGAGAGAGGUAGAGAGAGUAUCUUUUAUGUACUGAAUGUUUGAUCAUUGGUUUUGUUGCUUGGUUGUUUUUGUUGUUGUUGUUGAUCGCUUUCAUUGAACGUCACGAUCAACAUUAACGACAGGUUUGGUAGGUUUGUAUACACACAAAAUAACUGGCUGUGGGCGCCAUUACAAGACAUACUCAUAUGUUUGUCUGUUUAUUACCAUCAAUCAACAAUGACUGUGGAAUGCCCGAUUGAUUUGACCAUCAGAACUUUUUUUUUGUGUUAAUAUCCAACCCUGCCGUCGAUAACAGAUGUGUGUGUGUGCAUCUAAUUUCAUUUUAUUCAACGUUUUUAAUUCUCUGAUUGCAAUAUGCUUGUUUAUUUGAAAAUUUAAUGGUCUCAUGAUUUUUUUU